rnacentral:rRNA from 1 species
UACGGGGGGGGCAAGCGUUGUUCGGAAUUACUGGGCGUAAAGCGUGCGCAGGCGGUUCGUUAUGUCCGUUGUGAAAGCCCCGGGCUCAACCUGGGAAUGGCAAUGGAAACUGGCGAGCUAGAGUGUGGCAGAGGGGGGUGGAAUUCCGCGUGUAGCAGUGAAAUGCGUAGAGAUGCGGAGGAACACCGAUGGCGAAGGCAGCCCCCUGGGCUGACACUGACGCUCAGGCACGAAAGCGUGGGGAGCAAACAGG